AAAGUCGUAACAAGGUUUCCGUAGGUGAACCUGCGGAAGGAUCAUUAUUGAAUAAAUCUGGCGUGGUUGUAGCUGGCUCUCCGGGGCAAUGUGCACACCCGUCACCUUUAUCUUUCCACCUGUGCACACGCUGUAGUCCUGGAUAACUCUCGCUGGAAGGCGGACUUUGGGUUUGUCGUCUGCCCUCAAGGGGGCUCGGCUCACUCUGAAUUUCCAGGUCUAUGAUCUCUCAUACACCCCAAAAGAAUGUAAUGGAAUGUCAUCACAAGGCCCUUGUGCCUAUAUAAAUUUAUACAACUUUCAGCAACGGAUCUCUUGGCUCUC
rnacentral:misc_RNA from 1 species